rnacentral:rRNA from 1 species
GACGAACGCUGGCGGCGUGCUUAACACAUGCAAGUCGAACGGAAAGGCCUGCUUUCCCUUGUGGAUUGCGGGUACUCGAGUGGCGAACGGGUGAGUAACACGUGAGUGAUCUGCCCCCAACUUGGGUAUAAGCCUGGGAAACUGGGUCUAAUUCCCGAUAGGACUGCAGGGUGGCGCCUGUGGUGGAAAACGAUUUUCUAGUGGUCGGGGAUGAGCUCGCGGCCUAUCAGCUUGUUGGUGGGGUAAUGGCCUACCAAGGCGGCGACGGGUAGCCGGCCUGAGAGGGUGGACGGCCACAUUGGGACUGAGAUACGGCCCAGACUCCUACGGGAGGCAGCAGUGGGGAAUAUUGCACAAUGGGCGGAAGCCUGAUGCAGCGACGCCGCGUGGGGGAUGACGGCCUUCGGGUUGUAAACUCCUUUCGACCGCGAGGAAGCCACCUGGUUGGAAGGGUGGUGACGGUAGUGGUAGAAGAAGCACCGGCUAACUACGUG